rnacentral:rRNA from 1 species
UACAUGGGGUGCAAACGUUGCUCGGAAUCAUUGGGCGUAAAGCGCGCGUAGGCGGUUAUCUAAGUCGGAUGUGAAAGCCCUCGGCUUAACUGAGGAAGUGCAUCCGAAACUGAAUAGCUAGAGUACGAAAGAGGGUCGCGGAAUUCCCGGUGUAGAGGUGAAAAUUCGUAGAUAUCGGGGAGGAACACCGGUGGCGAAGGCGGCGACCUGGGUCGAGACUGACGCUAGGCGCGAAAAGCGUGGGGGAGCAAACAGG